CUGCUUUUUUGCUGACGGGGCUAUUUCUUUCCUUUAUUAGCAGUUCUUGACGUCAACUGCCGAGCUUCAGAGCGACGACCGCAAGCAAUAAGAAUCAAAAUAAGCUAAAGACCCCGAAGCUUUUCUCGCGCCUGCCUUUCCUUUUACCCCAUUGCUUCUCUUGCUCUCCAGUUGUGAAUGCAGAUGGUUCCAUAUUUCACCUGACAUGCAUCUGUUGUCGGAAACUUGGACAUGGGAACCCCUAGUGUUUUAUGGAAUGUCGCAAAGAAGUGUUUCACGGUUGGGCUUGUCUCGCUUACAGUUUCAGAUCGAUUUGCCAGUAUAGUGUCAGUCCGGGGUGGCUCAAUGUCUCCCACGUUUAAUCCCAAAACCAAUACCUUGUUUGGUUCAUUGAGUGAUGACUAUGUUCUGGUGGAGAAGUUUUGCCUUCAAAAAUACAAAUUUUCACAUGGCGAUGUGGUAGUUUUCAGCUCUCCAUAUGAUCACAAGGAGAAACAUGUAAAGAGAAUUAUUGGCUUACCAGGUGAUUGGGUUGGGACUCAUUACGAUGUCGUGAAGGUUCCAGAAGGACAUUGUUGGGUUGAGGGAGACAAUUCAGCUUCAAGCAUGGACUCGAGGUCUUUUGGCCCUGUUCCUUUGGGUUUGGUUAAUGGAAGGGUCGUCCACAUUCUGUGGCCUCCGCACAGAGUAGGCAGCGUCGAGAGAAAAGCUCCUCAACAGAGAGUUUCUUCCUCCUAAUUGCAUCUGAACCACAAUUUUUUCAUGGACAGUUAUACAAGUGUUUCCAUGCAAUUUUUCGCAUUCGGUGAUCUCUUUGGUUUAGUAGAAAGAAAACAGAAUGGGAAGGCUGUUCGUGAUCACUCUCGAGGGAAGCGUUUAUAGCUGCAAGCACUGCCAAACCCAUCUUGCUCUCCUCGAUGACAUUAUCUCUAAGUCUUUCCACUGCAGGCAUGGAAAGGCUUAUCUCUUUGAUAAGGUUGUGAAUAUCACAGUAGGAGAGAAAGAAGAGCGCAUGAUGAUGACUGGAAUGCACACUGUUGUUGAUAUAUUCUGUGUUGGGUGUGGCUCGAUUGUGGGAUGGAAAUACUGUGACUGAUUGUAGGAGGCUGCACAUGAGAAGUUACAGAAGUACAAAGAGGGAAAAUUCAUUCUUGAGAGGUUUAAGGUGUUGGGCCCUGAUGGAAGCAAUUACUUGGUGAGUCAGGAAGCUAUGGUUGGUGGAAGUGAUGCUGAUGAUGCUUGAUUGCAAUUCAGUUUGCCAUUUGAUCAAAUGUUUUAAUUGUACAUUCUCUGCAUCUCAUGUGCUUGUUGGCCUGCUAUUUAGGCUCUUAAAUUGGAAUUAUUUUUUCUGUUACAGAACAUUCUUUGCCAAUAGUAUUAUUAGAAUGAUUCCGUUCUUCAAAGUCCGGGUUGCUUUUA